GAAAGCUAUUAUACCUUCCUGCUAAGAAGGUAAAGAGAGUUUGGCCUCUCAGUUUUCU
rnacentral:tRNA from 1 species